AGGAAUUAAAAUUAUACCCGACUAUUUAUUAUAUUUAUUUAAUGGGAUUCAUGUCUUCUCUUAAAGACUAGGACACUGUAUUUAUAAUUUGCAAGUGAAACUAAAUUAGCCUGGUCCGGGCAGAGGACUGGACUGGGGAAGAGCUGGGGUCCGUCUGAAGGCAGCCACCGACUUCCUGUGACUUUGCCCCUGGAGGCCCCAGGCAGGAUGAGGUGGAGGCCAGGCUCUGGCCAUGUCUGAUCGUCCGUGAGCCCGAGUUCUAACUUGAGCGUUACUAGCACGGACCUCGUCACGGAUUUCCACUCUCAGAGGCGUGGCCCAUCCCAGUUAGCAUCUAGCACCGCUCUGUGUGGGGCCGCUGCGUGUGGAGGGAACAUACGCUCGCGGAUAUGUCACAGCGGGUUCCCUUUACUCCCCGCCAUCCCCAGACUUCGGCUCCAGGGAGGCCCCAGGCUCCAGGAGGGCCGGGAAGGGCAGAGUGGAAGUGAGGCACAGGUGAGUGGAGUGGGGCCGGGGCUCCGGGGCUCCACGGGGGUGCGGACGCUGGUGGGGUUGGGGCCGCGGCCACGCAGGCACCCCGGGGAGGGGGGGGGGGACGUGUCCCUGGUGCUGCUCUGCCCCCUGUUCCCCACCCCUCCAGGUCUUCGGGCGGGUGGGAGGAAGAGGAAUUGGAGGAGGGCCAGGAGGAGAGAGAGGACCAGGCCCCACCGGAUGUCCCCCCCGCGUCUUGGGCACAGAGGCUGGAGUGUCGCCCGGAUGGCCCAGGGAAACCCCAAGCAGGAACCCUCAGAGGAGACUCACCAAGUCUGGCUUCUGUACGAUCAUGUGACUCCACUCUGCUGGCCCGGAACGCGGCCUCUGUGCUUCCUCCGCAACACUCAAACGUUCCGGGUUUCUGGGACGAAGCCUCUUCCCGGGGAUUCAGCGCUGCAUGGACACGUGAUGUGCCACCAUCGACAGAUGGCUGCUGUGCACACUGAACAAGGGCUUGACGGUCUCGGCACUGAGAUGUUCAGUUGCUCCUCGCUGGAAGUUUGGGGCUCAGGGGGCUAAAGGAGAGGAACAUGGACAGUGAAUUUCCUUCUGGAUCCAAACCUCAUGAUUGCUAAGGCCCUUGCCAGUUCCAAAAGCUGUGACAUGUUGGCCAAGAGGCUUUGCAGUCCCUGACGUCUCCAGACGUCUAUUUUCUCGAAUGGGAAAUGGGGAUAUAGCCUGAGAGAGGACACCUCUGAACGCACUGCUGCACCGUCGCGGGUUUGGGAGGCAGCCCCGCAGGCCUGUGGGACAGCCGCGAUGAGCGGUCACACGGCGGUCACACAGGGCACAAACCACACGGUGCUUCCUCCUGCAGUCCUCACAGUGGAUGACCCCCUUUCCCAGAUGCGGAAAAGACAGCACCAGGGUUAAUGAGUUUGUCCUCUCAGGCUACACCCCUAGGCAGUGGGGAAGCCGGGACUCAAACCCAGGCCGUCAACACCUUCUAGAACGCGGUGCAGUUCCGCGCCUCCACCCCCGCCCCGGUCAUGCUGGUGCUUACCAAGAGCUGACCGUGUUGGUACCAAAUGUGCUUAUGCUGGCGUAUGUGUUAUUGCAAUUUGUCAUUUAAUUAAAUAUCAUGCAAACUGGUGAACCAAGUGUGAAAACAGCACCGUUUCUAUGAAAAACUGAGUCGAAUCCUUAGAAGUCUUGAUUAGGUGACUCAAUUCAAAAACUACUAUUGAAUUAGAUGGGACCAAGACAGUUAUCACAUUUGGCUGCAAAAUAAUAAAAGUCUAGAUGAGUUUUGCACUUAGAUUGCUUCAACCACGCCACUCGCUGUUCCGCCCCCCCCGUGAGCAAACUGGAAAUCGCAGGUGGUCCAUUUAUGCGCGAAGGAUGAAGAAGUCAGCCGCGGCCUGUUCUCCAAGAAGAGACCCUGGCCACACUUUGACAGACGCAGAUGAAUGUAUUUUUUUGUUUUAAGUUGAAAUAAAAGAACCCAUUUCAGGUCGUGUCAGAGAAGAGGGUUUCCACUACACCGUGAAACUCCUCACCGUGAGAUUUGGAGGAUUCGUUAAAAAUAUCUGCCGAGGGCCUACCAUAUGCCCAGCAUGCCACGAGCUGCUGAGGACACUGGGGACACGGCCGCUCACCUUUCCUAUUGUCUCGUCAGGUGUUGGGGGUGUCUUGAUUUGGAUGCAGGUUCACCAGCUGUAACAGAGUCAAUGUAAUCUACCAUUUAUUUAUUUAUGAGAGAGAGAUGGGGGGGGAGAGAGAGAGAGAGAGAGAGAGAGAGGAGAGAGAGAGAGAGAAUCCCAAGCAGGCUCUGCAAGGCCAGCCACGGGGCUCGACCCACGAACUGUGAGAUCAUGACCUGAGCUGAAUCGAGAGCAGGACGCUUAACCGACCGAGCCACCCAGGAGCCCCGUAACUGUGCCUUUAAACAGAGAGAACUUUACUCCUGUCUCACGUAAGCAGUCCCCAUGGAGGCGGUGGCUUCCUGGAGCUCAGGGAGUCAGGCAGGACGCUCUGCUGUCCCCAACACAGCAUUCCCAUGCCAUGUCCUAAACUGGCUGCCCCACCCGCGGCAUAGCACCUUCAUUCCUGCCGGUAAGAAGGAAAAAGGAGUGGAGGAAAACCUGCGUUUUUUCCAAGGUGCCGUCUGGCAGUUUCAAGUCAUUUCUGCUCGGACCUCAUUGGUCAGAGUUUAGUCACAUGUACGUGCCCGGCUGCUGCAAGGGAGACUGGAAAAUGUAGUGUGUAGCCGGGCAGCCGUGUGGCCACAUAAACUCCGGGGUUCUGUUGCCGAAGGAAGAAAGGAGAGUGGAUUUGAGGGGACAAGCAGCGGCAGCUGCCACACGGGAGUAUCACCACGGGGUCAGGCCAAGCCCAUGUCAACCGUCACUGACUCUACUACUGAAUAGCUGUAUUAUCUUAGGAAAAUGACUUCUCUCUGUGCUAGUCAAUGUCCUCAUCUAAAACACGAGGAUAAAAAUGCAUCGUAGGAUCGACAGGGUGAAAUGUGUAAGCAUCCGGAACUCAGGAGUGCUCGAUCCAUGAGCCUUUAAUAAAUUGGUUUUGAAGGCAUUUCUCAAAGAAAACUCUAGAAGCCUGGA
rnacentral:lncRNA from 1 species